rnacentral:rRNA from 1 species
UACAGAGGGUGCGAGCGUUAAUCGGAAUUACUGGGCGUAAAGCGCGCGUAGGCGGCUUUGCAAGUCGGGUGUGAAAUCCCCAGGCUUAACCUGGGAACUGCAUUCGAGACUGCAUUGCUAGAGUAUGGGAGAGGGAAGUGGAAUUUCCGGUGUAGCAGUGAAAUGCGUAGAUAUCGAGAGGAACACCAGUGGCGAAGGCGAGUCCCUGGACAAAACCUGACACUGAGGCACGAAAGCUAGGGGAGCAAACAGG